rnacentral:rRNA from 1 species
AUUGAACGCUGGCGGCAUGCUUUACACAUGCAAGUCGAACGGCAGCGCGGGCUUCGGCCUGGCGGCGAGUGGCGAACGGGUGAGUAAUACAUCGGAACGUGCCCAGUAGUGGGGGAUAGCUCGGCGAAAGCCGGAUUAAUACCGCAUACGACCUGAGGGUGAAAGCGGGGGAUCUUCGGACCUCGCGCUCUUGGAGCGGCCGAUGGCGGAUUAGCUAGUUGGUGGGGUAAAGGCCUACCAAGGCGACGAUCUGUAGCUGGUCUGAGAGGACGACCAGCCACACUGGGACUGAGACACGGCCCAGACUCCUACGGGAGGCAGCAGUGGGGAAUUUUGGACAAUGGGCGAAAGCCUGAUCCAGCAAUGCCGCGUGUGUGAUGAAGGCCUUCGGGUUGUAAAGCACUUUUGGCGGGAACGAAAAGGACUGUGCCAAUACCACGGUUCGAUGACGGUACCCGCAGAAUAAGCACCGGCUAACUACGUG